rnacentral:snRNA from 1 species
AUCACUUCUCAGCCUUUUGGCUAAGAUCAAGUGUAGUAUCUGUUCUUAUCAGUUUAAUUUUUUUUUUUAAUAUUAGGAAAAAAAUUUUUACAGAGAGAGUAAUCAGACAUUGGAAUGGGCUGCCUGGGGAGGUGGUGGAUUCACCAUCCCUGGAGGGGAAACUGGAUGUAGCACUUAGUGCCAUGGUCUAGUAACC